UACGUGUCACCUUUUAAUUUGACGGAUCAUAUGUGUAUCUCUCUCCUUCGUCGGGGUUUGAUGCGAAAUUCCCUUUUCUCUCUUCCUCCUCCGAUCUCUCCAUCUUCUCUGGCCAUUCUCUGUGAUUCUUCGAUCUCUCCAUCUCCUCUGUCAAUUCUUCUAUCUCUCCAUCUUCUCUGUUGAUUCUCUCUCAAUUCUGAUGUCUAUCACUUUCUCUGUCGAUUCGAUGUCGUUUCUCUUCCAUAUUCUGAGGCUAUGAUGAAGAUCAUAACAGAGAAGCAACUUCUUCAGAGGAAUCAACUUCAAGAGAAAGCAAGGAAUCAACUUUGUUCGGUUACUGCGCUGAAGGAGACCAAAGACUCCUCGUCUAUGAGUACAUGCCUUUUGGAUCUGUAGAAGAUCAUAUCCACGGUUACGGAUAUGAAGAAGAGGUUUUAGAUUUGAGCACAAGGAUGCAUAUAGCUUUAGGAUCAGCCGAAGGGCUAGUGUAUCUUCACAACGUAGCACAACCUCCUCUGAUCUACAGAGACUUGAAAACCGUAAACAUAUUGCUAGACCAUGGCUACAAACCAAAGCUAUCUGACUUUGGGCUUGCUAAGUUUGGUCCGAGCGGUGACAUGUCUCAUGUCUCUACUAGAGUCAUGGGAAGUCACGGGUAUUGCGCGCCGGAGUUGUAGGUUUGUUCAGAGAGCGGGGACAUGUCUCAUGUCUCUAAGUUCAGAGUUGUAGGUUUGUUCUUCACAGAGCCGGCCCUUGAAAGAAGCUGAGGAAGCUGUUGCUUCCGGCCGCCAUAGAUUAUCUAAAUUUUCGGCCGUAUUUGGACAGAAAGUUCUUGUUAGCAUUAGCUGUUUGGGUAAUGGUUACUAGUGUUUAGCCUCGCGGGUUCGAAUCCCCUUAAGAGAAUAGGCCACAUUUUUAAUUUUUGUUUGUAGCCACAUAUUUUCUAGGACCGGCUCUGGUUCUUCAUGGUGUAAGUUCUUGCAGUGCCAAUAUCUGUUUGGUAGUAACAUAAGUGAUUGGAGGAAAUAUAUAAUGGAAACAACAAUAUAGCGUAACGUUUUAUUAAACUUGGUGGUCUUCUUCUGAAACUUGGUGGAUGGCCGAUAUUGAGUUUGAUUGUGCAGGUUCUUGUUGACUGCAGUGGAGAUGAUAAUGCAGAGAAAACUCCUGAGACUGCUUUUCAGAACAAGAAAGUUGCUCUCCUUCAGAUUAUCGAGGAAAAUCUUGUUGCCAAGACUAUCAUCUUCUGCAAUAAGAUUGAGACAUGUAGGAAAGUUGAGAAUAUAUUCAAGCGGCUUGAUAGAAACGAAAGGCAGCUGCACGUCCUACCGUUUUACGCAGCACUCGCACAAGGGACACGACUUACAAACAUGGAAGAAUUCACGUCGUCUCAUCCCGAAGAUCAUUCACUGUUUCUGGUCUGCACGGAUAGAGCUUCUUGUGGAAUAGAUUCCUCUGGCGUUGACCAUGUGGUGCUGUUUGAUUUUCCGUGUGAUCCGAGUGAAUACGUGAGACUUUUUUCUCGGAAUCCCUUUGUGUUCUUCAUGGUUUAAGUUCAGAGUUGUAGGUUUGUCUUUACUGUCUUAAUCAUGCUCUUUGUUUGUGUGUCAAUCGGUCUAUUGUUUCAUAGGAAUCAUGUGAAUAGUCAUAACCAUAUAUACUUCUUUCUCUCAAUUCAUGUGAGUUUUUAAGAA